rnacentral:rRNA from 1 species
CAGAACGAACGCUGGCGGCAGGCCUAACACAUGCAAGUCGAGCGCGCCCUUCGGGGUGAGCGGCGGACGGGUUAGUAACGCGUGGGAAUAUGCCCAAAGGUACGGAAUAGCCUCUGGAAACGGAGAGUAAUACCGUAUGUGCCCUUCGGGGGAAAGAUUUAUCGCCUUUGGAUUAGCCCGCGUUAGAUUAGGUAGUUGGUGGGGUAAUGGCCUACCAAGCCUACGAUCUAUAGCUGGUUUUAGAGGAUGAUCAGCAACACUGGGACUGAGACACGGCCCAGACUCCUACGGGAGGCAGCAGUGGGGAAUCUUGGACAAUGGGGGCAACCCUGAUCCAGCCAUGCCGCGUGAGUGAUGAAGGCCUUAGGGUCGUAAAGCUCUUUCGCCUGUGAAGAUAAUGACGGUAGCAGGUAAAGAAACCCCGGCUAACUCCGUGCCAGCAGCCGCGGUAAUACGGAGGGGGUUAGCGUUGUUCGGAAUUACUGGGCGUAAAGCGCACGUAGGCGGAUCGGAAAGUUGGGGGUGAAAUCCCGGGGCUCAACCCCGGAACUGCCUCCAAAACUAUCGGUCUAGAGUUCGAGAGAGGUGAGUGGAAUUCCGAGUGUAGAGGUGAAAUUCGUAGAUAUUCGGAGGAACACCAGUGGCGAAGGCGGCUCACUGGCUCGA